CCUCCCUUUAGCACCACCUCCCCCACUUCGGCGUCAGGCACGGGGCUGAGGGCGCGAUCACGUGAGCGCGCUCCUGAGGGCGGCCCCCAGGGCGGGGCCGCGCCAAUUUACGUCAUCAGUCCGCCAGCAGCUUUCGGGCUCUCGUUAGUGUCUCACUACAAUCCUGUGGGAUUUGCCUCCCUGCCCUCUUCACAUGAGGAGCUUCAGCCCUCAAUAAACUUCGAACUUGUUUUCGCCCAUCGCAAUCGAUGCAUGACGAGAUGAUGGUCACAUUAAAUCCCAUAUAGUACCCCGUCUUUAUAAUCCAUUAUUGAAACUUCAGGAGAAAAUGGGACCCUCCAAACUGGCAAAACAGAACAAGAAGAGGUUCUGCGAGAGGACCAGGAGUUUCUUUCUGCUGUCUGGUCUGUUGAAUGGGUCUUCCAAGGGAAAAUGAACAUUAAUUCAGUUUCUCAGAAUCAUGAAUGGAGAGGUGGAAUCGUGAAUGGAGAGAGGCAUUCCACAGAAAGUGAGGUGAGAUCCAUAUCGUUCCUGAUAGCUGGAUCGUUCACAGUUCUACCGCCCAAGAGGACCCAUCUGUCUCCGGAUUCACCUUCUUUUCUGUUGUUAAUUUUGUAUUUCCAGGUUUCCUGACAGGGGUAUUGUUCAUCCCAAAUUCCUGGCAGAGACAGUUGUUCAUCCUAAAACUCCGUCUGUCCCAAGCCCAAACGGCUUUCUCAUUUUAUUUUACAGAACAUUUCUUAAAUUACAUUUUGUAUAUACAAUAAACACAAAUUAUUUCAUGUCGUUUAUCACAGAGAUGAUUAAGAAAUUUUUAAGGGCUUCUUGUCUUUUUUAGUCUUCCCUGAAGAAAAGAGAGAGCUUUCUCAUGAAUUUUCAGUUACACACCAUGAAGUAGAAAGGUAUCAUUCAUCUUCAAAUGCACAAGUGUAUUAAUAUCUAUACACAAUUGUAAUAAAUGUAGUGAGUUAAUUUGUGUUUCUUGGGGAUAAUAACAUAAUAAAAUAAUAUAUGAAAUAAAUUGUAACUUAAAUUUCAGCCACCAUGGAAUUAGAGUUCCUAGGCUCCUCCACCCAGUAACUAUUAUUCAGGGGGUCACAAUAAGGUGCCGGGAACUGGAGAUGAGGAGAUUGGCAUCUGAAAGGAGGACACAUUAAGAUAAGAAAUCAGUUCUCCUCCCAUGGGCUGCAGAACCAUCAGAGGACCAUCAUCACAUGGAUCCCCGGAGAAGAAGGAAUAAACUUCAGUGUCCAUUCACCCACAGGAAACCAGAAACUGACACCUUGCAACACAGGGGGAAACUCUUUUCAGCUGGCCAGAGAUGACUAUGAAUUCGAAUAACCAACCCUGGAAACAAAGAAACUAUGGGGAAAUCUUGUGCCAGGGGUGAAAUAAAAUGUAUAAAAUCUGAGCCCAAAGCAAGGCAAAUUUGUGAACUUUGAGGGAACGGCAGUGUGCCAGAUACUGUGUUCCAGUUCACCCUUGAUGAUUCCCCGCGUCAAUCAUCAGUGUAACUCUUCUGGGAGAGUUUUGCUGAAAUUCUGUAAUUUGAUUCUUUUUAAUAAACCAAAAUUAUAUUUGUAAUUGAACUACUGGAUUGGCAUUUAUAACAACAAUCAUCACAUAUUAGGCAAAAAAAAAGUUGUGACUUCUAUUAGUUAACGAUUCAAAAUGUUAUAAAUGCUAGGACAAUUUAUUACUAAAUUUUAUAAUUUCGUUUAUUAAAAAUUCAAAUCACAAAAUUUGGAAUCAAAUUUUAGAAUUUUAAGCAAUAAAAAAACUCCCCCACAAACAGCGACACUUACUUGACAGAGUUUCUCUUGGGAAAAAGAGAGCCAAGGGUGACUCAUAGGCACAGACCCUGGCUGUCUGUGUUUCUAGCUGGGUACACGAAUUUGCCAUGUUCGAGGCUUGGUUUUUAUACUCUUUAUUCUGCCUCUGGCAGUAUUUCCCCAUAUUUCCCUUUGUUUCUUGGUUGCUAUUUAAACCCAUAUUUGUCUCAGGUCGGAUUGAAAAGAGCUCCCCUCCCAAGUCCAUGUGUUAAUGUUCAGUUUCUAUGGAUCUUUAUAGUUGAUGAAUGUUCGAGAUAUGGGUGAUAUUGCUUGAUGGUCUGUGAAGGUGGCUCCCGAGGUGUGAGUUGCUGAUACCGGCUCAUCUCAAGAGGUCCCCUCCCAAUACUUGAGAAGGCUGCAAAGUCUUUUGUUCCCUUCUGAAUGGAGAAACCUCCUAAAACAUAGACUUUUACCUGAUAUAAAUUUAUACAGCUUUAUAAUUUUCCAAUUUACCAUAAGAACAUGAAUUAAUCAUCUCACGUUUUUCACAAAAAGAUGUUUUUUCAAACCAUAAUUAAGAUUGUUUUGAUAUUUGACUCUUCUUUGUGCUCUGUUUGGAUUUCUUCUUACAUUUAAUUUUACCCUAGGAGUUCCAAGAUGUAUAAUUCUUGGGGUUUGAAUAAAUAUGUUAUCACUCUAAUGUAUUUUACUGUAAGUCAUUGCCAUAUGGCCUUACCUUUGCUUCCAUCUUCAGGAUUUUUUUUCACUUUUAUAGUAUAAUUUCCCUGCCAUAUGAGGCUUUUUUGGGAGAUGGCAUUCUGUGAUUCUCACCUGAGUAAUGCAUUUACAAGAAAAGGUGAGAAUGUGCUAUCUGAAAGAUGUGAUUAUUUCUCUUGAAGCUUAAAACUGUAAACUCUGUGAGUUUUGUACUAAAAUGUACCAUUCUAACUUAGGUUUUUAGGGAUAUAAAAUUGAACAAGUAUAGCAAUUAAUGGAAAUUAGGAUUGUAGUACAAACUUAAAUUCCUUGUGAACUGAUAACUGUAAAUUAAUCUCAGCAAUUAGACAUAAAACCUAUUUUCCUCUAGUGUUCAACUCUUUGAAAUUUUAAUCAACUUUAAUAAUAAAU